ensembl:lncRNA
GUCUGUAAUGGACUUUUACAAUUUUUUCCAAAGUAGUUGACAUUUAUUAUAUCUAGCACACAGUGAGAAACUCAAAAGAGUAAAUCAAUGCAAAUGAUACAUUCCUAAGCUCUGUUUGAAGGUUUAUCCAAAUACAUGCGCAAAAAAAAGAAAUCCGAACACCACAUAAGAAUUAUCCAAGAGCUAUUUCAACUACAGCCAAAUUGAGUAAGGGAGAAAUAUUGCACCAAAAAUAUUAAUUAGAUAUUGUAAAUGCGAAAUAAACAUUAAAUGUUAAAUAAACACUAUACAUUUGGUCCUUUAUAAAAACAUAUAAGCUAUUAAAUACACUAUGUCCACGAGGUUAGAGAAUAAAUAUAUAUACAUAUAUUUCUUUUUUUCAUUCAUACAUUCAAAUCGAUGGCAUGCAACCGUACAAGGUGACAGCCAACUCGUCGGAAUUAGGGUGAGGUGUCUUGCUAAGAGACAUCUCGACACUUUGCUUUCAGGGGUGUCUGGGCCUUUGGGGGGACUCUGCUGGCCACCAGAGGGUCGGGUUUGCUGGUUUGCUUCCUUCUGGUCGCCAAUGAUGGACGAGUGUUACCAUAAAUGGGGCAGGUCAUCUCUUAAGGAAAACCAAGCAAAAAAGAUGCAGGCCUAUUAUGAUUAUUUGAAACACAUGAUAAUUAUCGGACAGUUGGGCCACUGGGUACGAUCUCAAAUUCCGAAAAGGCACAUUACUUGC